ACGAGAAUAUUCCGCAAUGGGCGAAAGCCUGACGGAGCGACGCCGCGUGCUUGAUGAAGUGCUUCGGUACGUAAAGAGCUUUUAUGUGGGACGAAAUAAUUGACGGUACCACAUGAAUAAGGGGCUCCUAACUCUGUGCCAGCAGGAGCGGUAAUACAGAGGCCCCGACCAUUACCCGGAAUCACUGGGCGUAAAGGGUGUCUAGGCGGUCGUGUUAGUCGUUCGUUAAAUCUAGGGGCCUAACCUCUAGCCUGCGGACGAAACGGCACGACUCGAGGGUGCGAGAGGUAGAGGGAACUCACGGUGGAGGGGUGAAAUCCGUUGAUAUCGUGGGGAACACCAAAGGCGAAGGCACUCUACUGGCGCAUUCCUGACGCUCACACACGAAAGCCAGGGGAGAGAACGGGAUUAGAUACCCCGGUAGUCC
rnacentral:rRNA from 1 species